rnacentral:rRNA from 1 species
UGGGGAAUAUUGGACAAUGGGGGGAACCCUGAUCCAGCCAUGCCGCGUGUGUGAAGAAGGCCUUAUGGUUGUAAAGCACUUUAAGCGAGGAGGAGGCUCUCUUGGUUAAUACCCAAGAAGAGUGGACGUUACUCGCAGAAUAAGCACCGGCUAACUCUGUGCCAGCAGCCGCGGUAAUACAGAGGGUGCGAGCGUUAAUCGGAUUUACUGGGCGUAAAGCGUGCGUAGGCGGCUUUUUAAGUCGGAUGUGAAAUCCCCGAGCUUAACCUGGGAAUUGCAUUCGAUACUGGGAAGCUAGAGUAUGGGAGAGGAUGGUAGAAUUCCAGGUGUAGCGGUGAAAUGCGUAGAGAUCUGGAGGAAUACCGAUGGCGAAGGCAGCCAUCUGGCCUAAUACUGACGCUGAGGUACGAAAGCAUGGGGAGCAAACAGG